rnacentral:lncRNA from 1 species
UUUUUUUUUUUUGCAGGAUCGACCUCGAUUCCUCUUAUCCGCUUACAAUAAGCCUCGGCAGCUUAUCGGACAACACUCCAUAAGUGCACUGAUUCGAACUCAACGGUAUGAGUUAUCUCUACCUGUCAAACCACUGGAUCAAGUCCACCGGAUGCCCCUCUUCUGCUUGGGACUUUGCCAUCAUGUCAUCAACAUGGCAUUCAAUUUCAUGAUGAGUCAUAUCAUGAAACAAAGUCACCGCAGACCUUUGAUCCGUGGCACCGACCUUC